GAUGAACGCUGGCGGAGUGCCUAAUACAUGCAAGUCGAGCGGCAGCACGAGUAGUUUACUACUUGGUGGCGAGCGGCGGACGGCUGAGUAACGCGUGGGAACAUGCCCCAAAGUGAGGAAUAAGCAUCGGAAACGGUGUCUAAUGCCGCAUAUGAUCUUCGGAUUAAAGGAUUUAUCCGCUUUGGGAGUGGCCUGCGUACGAUUAGAUAGUUGGUGAGGUAAAGGCUCACCAAGUCUACGAUCGUUAACUGGUUUGAGAGGAUGAUCAGUCAGACUGGAACUGAGACACGGUCCAGACUCCUACGGGAGGCAGCAGUAAGGAAUCUUCCGCAAUGGGCGCAAGCCUGACGGA
rnacentral:rRNA from 1 species